CUUCUGAAAGCUAUAUAACGCUUGGACCAAGAGGUGGGUUUUUGGCAAUGGAGGGCUCCAGGCUGUGGCCAAUGGAGUGUACCCGAGGAAGCUUUGUUCUCGGAUGUCGAUAGUUUACCCGUGGAUAUUUUCUUUUCCAGGACGGUUUCCCCGUAAAGCUUUACUUUAACGGAUGAUGGA